AAUCAACGCUGGCGGCGUGCCUCAGACAUGCAAGUCGAACGCGAAAGUUUCCUUCGGGAAGCGAGUAGAGUGGCGCACGGGUGAGUAACACGUAAGUAAUCUACCCUUGGGUGGGGAAUAACAUCGGGAAACCGAUGCUAAUACCGCAUAAUGCAGCGGCCUCAUAUGAAGACAGUUGUUAAAGCAUUUAUGUGCCUGAGGAGGAGCUUGCGGCAGAUUAGCUAGUUGGUAAGGUAAUGGCUUACCAAGGCGACGAUCUGUAGCCGACCUGAGAGGGUGGUCGGUCACACUGACACUGAAUAACGGGUCAGACUCCUACGGGAGGCAGCAGUCGGGAAUUUUGGGCAAUGGGCGCAAGCCUGACCCAGCAACGCCGCGUGAAGGAUGAAGUAUUUCGGUAUGUAAACUUACGU
rnacentral:rRNA from 1 species